AACGAACGCUGGCGGCAGGCUUAACACAUGCAAGUCGAGCGCCCCGCAAGGGGAGCGGCAGACGGGUGAGUAACGCGUGGGAAUCUACCCAUCUCUACGGAAUAACGCAUGGAAACGUGUGCUAAUACCGUAUACGUCCUUCGGGAGAAAGAUUUAUCGGAGAUGGAUGAGCCCGCGGUGGAUUAGCUAGUUGGUGGGGUAAGGGCCUACCAAGGCGACGAUCCAUAGCUGGUCUGAGAGGAUGAUCAGCCACACUGGGACUGAGACACGGCCCAGACUCCUACGGGAGGCAGCAGUGGGGAAUAUUGGACGAUGGGCGCAGGCCUGAUCAGCCAUUCCGCGUGAGUGAUGAAGGCCCUAGGGUUGUAAAGCUCUUUCACCGGUGAAGAUAAUGACGGUAACCGUAGAAGAAGCCCCGGCUAACUUCGUGCCAGCCGCCGCUGUAAUAC
rnacentral:rRNA from 1 species